AGGAGGAACACCAAUGGCGAAGGCAGGACUCUGGGCCAUUACUGACACUGAGGAGCGAAAGCGUGGGGAGCGAACAGGAUUAGAUACCCUGGUAGUCCACGCCGUAAACGGUGGGCACUAGUUGUGGGGACCUUCCACGGUCUCUGCGACGCAGCUAACGCAUUAAGUGCCCCGCCUGGGGAGUACGAUCGCAAGAUUAAAACUCAAAGGAAUUGACGGGGCCCCGCACAAGCAGCGGAGCAUGCGGCUUAAUUCGACGCGACGCGAAGAACCUUACCAAGGCUUGACAUAUACAGGAAUAUGGCAGAGAUGUCAUAGCCGCAAGGUCUGUAUACAGGUGGUGCAUGGUUGUCGUCAGCUCGUGUCGUGAGAUGUUGGGUUAAGUCCCGCAACGAGCGCAACCCUCGUUCUGUGUUGCCAGCAUUUAGUUGGGGACUCACAGGAGACUGCCGGGGUUAACUCGGAGGAAGGUGGGGAUGACGUCAAAUCAUCAUGCCCCUUAUGUCUUGGGCUGCACGCAUGCUACAAUGGCUGGUACAAACGGCUGCAAUACCGCAAGGUGGAGCGAAUCCGAGAAAGCCAGUCUCAGUUCGGAUUGGGGUCUGCAACUCGACCCCAUGAAGUCGGAGUUGCUAGUAAUCGUAGAUCAGCAACGCUACGGUGAAUACGUUCCCGGGGCUUGUACACACCGCCCGUCACGUCACGAAAGUCGGUAACACCCGAAGUCAGUGGCCCAACCGCAAGGAGG
rnacentral:rRNA from 1 species